rnacentral:rRNA from 1 species
GAUGAACGCUAGCGGGAGGCCUAACACAUGCAAGCCGAGCGGUAUUUAUUCUUCGGAAUAGAGAGAGCGGCGUACGGGUGCGGAACACGUGUGCAACCUGCCUUUAUCAGGGGGAUAGCCUUUCGAAAGGAAGAUUAAUACCCCAUAAUAUAUUGAUUGGCAUCAAUUGAUAUUGAAAACUCCGGUGGAUAAAGAUGGGCACGCGCAAGAUUAGAUAGUUGGUGAGGUAACGGCUCACCAAGUCGAUGAUCUUUAGGGGGCCUGAGAGGGUGAUCCCCCACACUGGUACUGAGACACGGACCAGACUCCUACGGGAGGCAGCAGUGAGGAAUAUUGGACAAUGGGUGAGAGCCUGAUCCAGCCAUCCCGCGUGAAGGACGACGGUUCUAUGGAUUGUAAACUUCUUUUAUAUAGGGAUAAACCUACUUACGUGUAAGUAGCUGAAGGUACUAUAUGAAUAAGCACCGGCUAACUCCGUGCCAGCCGCCGCGGUAA